rnacentral:rRNA from 1 species
UACGUAGGGGGCAAGCGUUGUCCGGAUUUAUUGGGCGUAAAGAGCGUGUAGGCGGCUUGGAAGGUCCGUUGUGAAAACUCGAGGCUCAACCUCGAGACGCCGAUGGAAACCACCUGGCUAGAGUCCGGAAGAGGAGAGUGGAAUUCCUGGUGUAGCGGUGAAAUGCGCAGAUAUCAGGAAGAACACCCGUGGCUAAGGCGGCUCUCUAGUACGGUACUGACGCUGAGACGCGAAAGCGUGGGGAGCGAACAGG